CCGCGCCAGAAGCCUCCGGGGCGCGGGCCGGGAGGCCGGGAGCGCAGCAGCCGGCCCCUCGAGGGCCCACCCCGCUGGCCAACCACCAAGAGCUGCCGGCCGAAGGGACACAGACCAUCGGAAAGAAAUGGCGGCAACGCGCCGCGCGAACGUUGCUCCUACGCAACCGUGCCCAGAUGACGCCUCCCCCGGGGUCUCCAGGUGGCUUUGUCCUCGAGCCCUCAGCCAAAAUGGCCGCGACGGCUACAAGUGCGGGUCUGGGAUCUAGUCUGGAGCUUUUCUCUGCUUGCCUCCUUCCAGAGGCCCCCCUGAGGCCUCUGCCCAACACCUUUUAUCUGGUGGAUGCUUCUCUCCACACCACACCGGAGGAGCUGGGCAAAUAGAGCUGAUCACACCAGAAAGGCGAAAAGGAAAAGACAAAAAGCCUGGAAAAGCUGGAACUGAGACGUUACCCCCACCUCUCAUCUUUCUUUCUCUCGGGCAUCGUCUUGGAGAUCCUGAGCAUCUAAACCCCACAGCUGGGCCUUCUGCUAAACCCCACAGCUGGAGAUGAAGGCUGGUUUGGGGUCUGGGAAUCCUGAGGAAGAACCCAAAGCACUCAAGAAACAAUUCUUCAUUUUUUUUUUCGUGAAUAGUUUAUUGUCAAGUUGGUUUCCAUAUAACAG